GUGAUGCCCCAAAACAAUUACAAUAGCAACAUCAAAAAUCACUGAUAGAGAAAAUUAGCAUGGCCCCUGCGCAAGGAUGACAUGCAAAUUCAUGAAACGUUCCAUAUUUUU